rnacentral:lncRNA from 1 species
UGUCUUAAGCAUGCAUCCAUUUGACGUAAUCAUAUCCUCCAAAUAAUUAAAUUAUUCAACAAUAAUCUUCAAGUCACCACCUUUUCCCAUGAUAUUUUGCUUGUUGGAUUCCGACACCUCACUUCUAUAAUGUUUUAAUACUCUCUCCCCGUUCUAUUUUAUAUGAGUUAGUUUGACUCUGCAGUCUGCACAGAGUUUAAGAAAGAAAUGAGAAUUUUUGAAAUUUAUGAUUUUAGAUAGGGAAAAAGGUCAGAAAAAUAAUCUAACUUUGACCGAAAUUGUUAUUAGGAUACCAAACUUUAUGAAUUGUGCUAUUUAAUAGUAUAUUUUAAAGGUAUAUAUAUGCGUAAACACGUUACUAUUUAUAAUGAUGAAAUGUUUAUGAUGUCCACGUUAACACAUAUAUACCUUUAAAAUACACUAUUAGAUAGUGUAGGGAGAUAAAAAGUCAUUUUCAAAGUUCAGUAUUAAUAUUGUUACAAUAAUUUUAAUCAAUAUUAUAACAUAUUUCAGACUUUUUUUCCUUUAAAAUAAGAGACAGAUAUUUAUGAGGUUAUAAAUUUAAUAUUAAGAAUAAAUUGAUCAUUUUAAAAUUAAAUUGUUACUUUAAUAAAAAUAUGCCAUUCUUUUAGACUUGAUUAAAAAGAAAAGGAAAUUAUAUUAUAUUAUAAACUGAGAUAAAAAAGGAAAGUGGUAUAAAUUAUUGUAUUCCAAUUUAAUUUGUAAUAUUUCUAACUCCUUUUGGUGGGGAACAGAGGCGGAUUUAGGAUUUGAAGGUCGGGGGUGCCAUAACGUUCAAGUAAGAUAAAAGGACUGAUUGCUUUAAUUUUGGGUUACAAUUCAUGUUAUUAAUUUUUUUUUUAUAAACAAAUCGAUCAAAUGUGCAUAUAGUAAUACUUUUUUUUUUAGAUAUUAUGUGAUUAGAGAUAACUAAACAAUUUAAUUUUUAUUUUCUUUUGGGAAUUAGAUGUCUUAUUCGCUGAAACAUUGAGAAAAAAAUUUACAUUAAAAUUUGAGCUUGUAUAAACCAGCUAAUAAUAUUUAAAUAAUAUAUUCAUCUUUCAUUGACUUUAUGUGUUGUUGGAGAUAUAUAGUUGGAAAAGAAUAAACAUUGUAGUUUCAGCCUAUGCAUCUUACUUAGCAAAAACGUCGAUGAAGAUCGAAAGAACCUUUAAAUUAAAAAAAAACACAUUUUGAAACUUAUGUUUUGUAAAAGCUACUAUUUAAAGUAAUAUUCAUUUGACGCUCAUAAUUCAGUACUUACUAAUUGAUUAAAAAAAUUAAUAUGUUAUACCAAUAUCAAUAGAUUAAUAAUUAGUGCAAGAGAAAGUAAUAAAAAUUAAUUAUGAAAAGGGGUCAAUUUGAAUUACUAAUGAGUAGUAAAUAACUAAAAAUGAAUGGAGAAAAAAAAAGAAAAAGAAAAAUGGAGCAAGCAAAAAAAAAUAGAUGUUGCCACUGUGGUUUCAACCUGCAUUAACAAGGUGGCGGAUUCUCACCUUCGCCAAUUGGACUAUUUCGCAGUACAAUCACUUGGUGGCAAAAGUAAUACAUAUUUAAUUAUUAUGCAUAUAUAUAUAUGUGUGUGUGUAUACAACUUUUUUUUCGAGAUCAUUGGGUGUCGUGAUACUCCCACCCACAAAGUAGAUCCCCCCUAGUGGGGAACCAAUGGAAAAAUUAGAAGUAUCUAUCACCAAGAUAUUCAUGAUUGAAUAAUAUUUAACUUAAACGUAUACUUAGUAGAUUUUUGGGGAAAUAUUCGAUUGACACCUUGAGCUUAUGGGAUUAUUAUAUGGAACGAGGUAGAAAAGGAAAAAAAUUCACUUGCACUCAAUGAUAAUAUCGAAUCAUAUAAACUUUGUUUCUAUUUAUUUGCUUAUUUUAUUUAUUUAUUACAUAAAUUAAGAAAAUAAUUAUUGAUAAAAUGAAUUUAGUAUUGUUAUCCUUAUUAUCGGAUGAUAUUCCAAAAUCAAUGUACUCGUUAAAAAAGUUUUUCCUUUUUCAAAAACAUUAACUCCCUAGAGUAAAUAAUAGGUAAAAGAUCAUUUUUUUAAUUUAUAAAAAAUAACAAGUAAAAAGGUAAAAUUUAUUAAGUAAAAAGAGAUAGAAAGAGUAUUAGCUUAUAAUGAUAAUAUACUGAUAUAUUAAAGUAAAAAUAUUUUAUUCAUUUAUUUUAGUUAGAGGUAAAUCUAAAAUAUGACUUACUCUUAAGCGGUGUCACUACUGACUUGGGCCUAUCGAUUCGAAAUGGGCAACUUUCACAUAUAGCAACCAAAAAAUUUAUAUUUGUAUGCUAGAGCAAAGUUUGCAUAAUUGCGCUCCAUAGCAAACAUAAAACUGUAUAAUUCGCUAUACAUAUACAAUUGUAUAAUUCGCUGGCCUAAAUUGUAUAAUUCGCUGGCCUAUUUUGCUGCAAUUGUAUAAUUCGCUAUCCUAUUUCACUGCAAUUAUAUAAUGCACAAUUGUAUAAUUUGCUGCCUAUUUCGCUGCAAUAUUUUUAUAAAAUUUGCUUUGCAUACAAUUGAAUCGAAUUAAAAUGUAUGUAUAUUGCAUAAUUAUAAGUGUGUAGUAAGAAGAUAUAUGUUUUUCUCUCGCUUUAUACAAAAACAGAAACACAAUAUAUACACUUCUGUUGUAUAAAGCUAGAGAAAAUUGUAUUUUACUGCAAUUGUAUAAUUCGUUGGUCUUUUUCUCUGCAAUAUUUGUAUAAAAUUUGCAUUUGUCUACAAUUGAAUUGAAGUAAAAUGUUUGUAAAUUGUAUAAUUAAGUGUAUAACACGAAGAUAUAUUUUUUUGCAUGUGUAUAUACAAUUUUCUCUCGCUUUAUACAAAACAGAAACAUAAUUUAUACACUUCUGUGUAUAAAGCGAGAGAGGUGAGCAGAGGGAGAGUGGUGAGCGAGAAUGGGAGAGUGGCAAGCGAGAUUUUUGGGAGAGAGACGCUUGACAAACUUUGGCUAACGUUUGCUAUGAAGCACAAUUAAAUCAAACCAUAGCUACUCCAUUUAUUUUAGGUUAUUAGUUUGCUAUUGUAUACAAUUUUCCCAUUCUAAAUGGGUAGACUUACAAAUAUAGCGACUGUUACACCUUAAAUGGGACUUUAUAGUUAUAAUUUGCUUAAUUAUGAAUAAUAAUAAAAUGUUAUAAGAAGAGAGUGUAUAGUUUUUUGCAAAUUAAAAGAAUAUAAUACAAUUGAUUUGUAACAAAAUGAAUACAUAUAAGAGGAGAGAAGCGAGCGAGAUCAAGAGAGGGAGGAGGAAGAGAGAGGAGAUCGAGAUCGAGAGAGGGAGGAGAGAGGUGAACGAGAUCAAGAGAGACAAGCGAGAUCGAGCAAGAGAGGAUUAUAUUUUGUAUUUAUUUUGUGUUGUAUUCUGUAUUUAUUUUGUAUUAAUUGUAGUCAAAAUACAAAAAAAUGUAUUUCUAUUUAUUAUGCAUUGUAUUUUGUAUCAAUUGUAUUCUAAAUACACAAAUUCAUGAUAUUCAUCCUCUGUUUGAUUGGGAUGAUGAAUGCAUAUUAUAUUCAUAUGAAUACAAAUACAACUGAACAUACAAAAAUAUAAAAUAUAUUUUUUUGAAUACAAAUCAAAAUAAAAUAAAAAAAUCUCAGCGAUAUUUGAAUGAAUACAAUUGAUACACAAAAAAUUUGAAUGUAUUUUUUAUUGACAGGAGAGAAAAACAAAGAGACAGGGUGAGAGAUGAUACAUACUUGGAAAUAAGCAGAUCAUAGAUAUAAGUCUUUUCAUGUCCGAACUCUCCCUCGGAUCGUUCAAAAAUCAUUAUAGUCUUUCUAUGGAGACUAUUGGAAACGAAAAUGUGCCUCGGAUUAAAAACAACGAAAAAAAUUGCUAUUUAUCUAUUGCCAUGCUGACAAUGUAUUGGUAAUGAUUGUUUUAUAAUUGGAAAGUCGUUCCACGCUCUCUAUCCCCUUUUUAGGGUCCCCAUGAACCGUUUUUAGUACUCAGGGUGAGAGAGGGGAUAGUGCAAGAGAGGGAGGAG